rnacentral:rRNA from 1 species
CACAUGCAAGUCGAACGGCAGCACGGGGGCAACCCUGGUGGCGAGUGGCGAACGGGUGAGUAAUACAUCGGAACGUGUCCUGUAGUGGGGGAUAGCCCGGCGAAAGCCGGAUUAAUACCGCAUACGCUCUACGGAGGAAAGGGGGGGAUCUUAGGACCUCCCGCUACAGGGGCGGCCGAUGGCAGAUUAGCUAGUUGGUGGGGUAAAGGCCUACCAAGGCGACGAUCUGUAGCUGGUCUGAGAGGACGACCAGCCACACUGGGACUGAGACACGGCCCAGACUCCUACGGGAGGCAGCAGUGGGGAAUUUUGGACAAUGGGCGAAAGCCUGAUCCAGCAAUGCCGCGUGUGUGAAGAAGGCCUUCGGGUUGUAAAGCACUUUUGUCCGGAAAGAAAACGCCGUGGUUAAUACCCGUGGCGGAUGACGGUACCGGAAGAAUAAGCACCGGCUAACUACGUGCCAGCAGCCGCGGUAAUACGUAGGGUGCAAGCGUUAAUCGGAAUUACUGGGCGUAAAGCGUGCGCAGGCGGUCCGCUAAGACAGAUGUGAAAUCCCCGGGCUUAACCUGGGAACUGCAUUUGUGACUGGCGGGCUAGAG